rfam:Myotis brandtii contig289626, whole genome shotgun sequence.
GGCAGUUCUCGGGUGACACACCCCGGAAUCGGGCUCCCUCCUCUCUGGUUCCGGGUGUGUCACCCAAGAACCACA